AGGGUUCGAUUCUGGCUCAGAUUGAACGCUGGCGGCAUGCCUAAUACAUGCAAGUCGAACGGAAACGAUGGAAGCUUGCUUCCAGGCGUCGAGUGGCGGACGGGUGAGUAAUACUUAGGAAUCUGCCUAUUAGUGGGGGACAACUCGAGGAAACUCGAGCUAAUACCGCAUACGCCCUACGGGGGAAAGCGGGGGAUCUUUCGGGACCUCGCGCUAAUAGAUGAGCCUAAGCCGGAUUAGCUUGUUGGUGGGGUAAUGGCCUACCAAGGCGACGAUCCGUAGCUGGUCUGAGAGGAUGAUCAGCCACACUGGGACUGAGACACGGCCCAGACUCCUACGGGAGGCAGCAGUAGGGAAUAUUGCACAAUGGGCGAAAGCCUGAUGCAGCAAUGCCGCGUGUGUGAAGAAGGCCUGAGGGUUGUAAAGCACUUUCAAUAGUGAAGAAAAGCACAGGGUUAAUAACCUUGUGUGUUGACGUUAACUAUACAAGAAGCACCGGCUAACUCCGUGCCAGCAGCCGCGGUAAUA
rnacentral:rRNA from 1 species